rnacentral:snRNA from 1 species
GUGCUCGCUUCAGCAGCACAUAUACAAAAAUUGGAAUGAUACAGAGAAGAUUUGAGUAUGACACACAAAUUUGUGAAAAAUAAAAACAAAAA